rnacentral:rRNA from 1 species
CAAAUUGAAAUCUGGCCUUUACGGGUCCGAGUUGUAAUUGUAGAGGAUGUUUCGGGCAAGGCUCUGGUUUAAAUUUCUUGGAACAGAAUGUCAUAGAGGGUGAGAGUCCCGUCUAGAACCGAUAGCCGCGUCCAUGUGAAACUCCUUCGACGAGUCGAGUUGUUUGGGAAUGCAGCUCAAAAUGGGUGGUAAAUUUCAUCUAAAGCUAAAUAUUGGCCAGAGACCGAUAGCGCACAAGUAGAGUGAUCGAAAGAUGAAAAGCACUUUGAAAAGAGAGUUAAACAGUAUGUGAAAUUGUUGAAAGGGAAGCGCUUGCAACCAGACUUGCGUGUAGCGGUUCCCCCAGUCUUCUGACCGGGCUAUUCCGUUAUAUCCAGGCCAGCAUCGGUUCGGGUGGUCGGUCAAAGGCCUUGGGAAUGUAUCUACCUUCGGGUCGACUUAUAGCCCAGGGUGUAAUGCGGCCUACCUGGACCGAGGAACGCGCUUCGGCUCGGAUGCUGGCGUAAUGGUUGUAAGCGGCCCGUCUUGAAACACGGACCAAGGAGUCUAACAUCUAUGCGAGUGUUAGGGUGUCAAACCCUUGCGCGUAAUGAAAGUGAACGGAGGUAAGAACCCUUAAGGGCGCAUUAUCGACCGAUCCUGAUGUCUUCGGAUGGAUUUGAGUAAGAGCAUAGCUGUUGGGACCCGAAAGAUGGUGAACUAUGCCUGAAUAGGGUGAAGCCAGAGGAAACUCUGGUGGAGGCUCGCAGCGGUUCUGACGUGCAAAUCGAUCGUCAAAUUUGGGUAUAGGGGCGAAAGACUAAUCGAACCAUCUGAACCAACCUACUGGAUGGUCAGUACCAGUCCUCUCACGGGAGGGCGACGUUGAUAUCGUGCGGGGAGGGCUACCGAUGUGGUAGGCCGAUUCGCAGCCGCCUUUUAACGAUAAAGGCAGGUCCACAGACUAGAUAUCGGCGGCCGGCAGCCCUGCGCUGACCGGUAUGAGAUAUAGCCGUUUAGGCCUCGUUGUUGAGGCUUAAAGGUCAAAGGGUAGCUGGUUCCUGUCGAAGUUUCCCUCAGGAUAGCAGUAACGUUUUCAGUUUUAUGAGGUAAAGCGAAUGAUUAGAGGCCUUGGGGUUGAAACAACCUUAACCUAUUCUCAAACUUUAAAUAUGUAAGAAGUCCUUGUUACUUAAUUGAACGUGGACAUUUGAAUGUACCGUUACUAGUGGGCCAUUUUUGGUAAGCAGAACUGGCGAUGCGGGAUGAACCGAACGUGAGGUUAAGGUGCCGGAAUAUACGCUCAUCAGACACCACAAAAGGUGUCAAUGCAUCCAGACAGCCGGACGGUGGCCAUGGAAGUCGGAAUCCGCUUAGGAGUGUGUAACAACUCACCGGCCGAAUGCAUUGGCCCUGAAAAUGGAUGGCGCUUAAGCGUGUUACCUAUACCUCGCCGUUAGAGUUGUAAUGAUGCUCUAACGAGUAGGCAGGCGUGGGGGUUUGUGACGAAGCCUUGGGGGUGACCCCGGGUCGAACA